CAAAUCGGCAAAACAAAUUGA
rnacentral:piRNA from 1 species